rnacentral:rRNA from 1 species
UACCGAGGUCUCAAGCGUUGUUCGGAUUCAUUGGGCGUAAAGGGUGCGUAGGCGGCGCGGUAAGUCGGGUGUGAAAUCUCGGAGCUUAACUCCGAAACUGCAUUCGAUACUGCCGUACUUGAGGACUGGAGAGGAGACUGGAAUUUACGGUGUAGCGGUGAAAUGCGUAGAUAUCGUAAGGAAGACCAGUGGCGAAGGCGGGUCUCUGGACAGUUCCUGACGCUGAGGCACGAAGGUCAGGGGAGCAAACGGG